AGGAAGGUGGGGAUGACGUCAAAUCAUCAUGCCCCUUAUGUCUAGGGCUACACACGUGCUACAAUGGUGAGUACAAAGAGAUGCAAUACCGUGAGGUGGAGCCAAACUCAAAAAAACAGCCCAGUUCGGAUUGUAGGCUGAAACUCGCCUACAGAAGCCGGAGUUGC
rnacentral:rRNA from 1 species